GCGAGGGGGAGCUAAUCCCUAAAAGUCGAUCGUAGGUCCGGAUCGCAGUCUGCAACUCGACUGCGUGAAGUUGGAAUCGCUAGUAAUCGCGGAUCAGAAUGUCGCGGUGAAUACGUUCCCGGGUCUUGUACACACCGCCCGUCACACCAUGGGAGUGGGUUUUACCAGAAGUAGGUAGCUUAACCGCAAGGAGGGCGCUUACCACGGUGGGAUUCAUGACUGGGGUGAAGUCGUAACAAGGUAGCCGUAUCGGAAGGUGCGGUUGGAUCACCUCCU
rnacentral:rRNA from 1 species